UCGUAACAAGGUUUCCGUAGGUGAACCUGCGGAAGGAUCAUUAAUGAGUUCGGGGGCCUAGCCCCCAGCGGCGAGUGUCGUUGAGUCCCCCGGGACUAAACGGCGAUCGUCGUGUUUCUCAACCCCAUGUUUACCAUACCUUUGUUGCUUUGGCGGGCCUUGAGUAGGCUAUACGGCUCAUGUCGGCCUUAAGCUUUAUUGCUUAGGGGCGGCUCGCGCCCGCCAGAGGUUCAACCAAAUUCUAUUUAUAAGUGAUGUCUGAGCAAUUAUUAAAUAAUCAAAACUUUCAACAACGGAUCUCUUGGUUCUGGCAUCGAUGAAGAACGCAGCGAAAUGCGAUAAGUAAUGUGAAUUGCAGAAUUCAGUGAAUCAUCGAAUCUUUGAACGCACAUUGCGCCCCUCGGUAUUCCGGGGGGCAUGCCUGUUCGAGCGUCAUUACACCCCUCAAGCGUAGCUUGGUAUUGGAUAUCCGCAGGCCUUUUUACAAGGCUUGCGGGUCCGAAAAACAGUGGCGGUCCCCGAGGAUUUCGCGCGUAGUAAAUAUUAUCCCGCGUUGGAAAGAAUCGGUGGGCUUGCCAAAACCCCCCAAUAAUCUCCAUGAUUGACCUCGGAUCAGGUAGGGAUACCCGCUGAACUUAAGCAUAUCAAUAAGCGGAGGAAAAGAAACCAACAGGGAUUGCCUCAGUAACGGCGAGUGAAGCGGCAACAGCUCAAAUUUGAAAUCUGGUCCUUUCAGGGCCCGAGUUGUAAUUUGUAGAGGAUGUUUCGGGUGCGGCGCGGGUCUAAGUCCUUUGGAACAGGGCGUCAUAGAGGGUGAGAAUCCCGUAUGUGACCCGUGAUCAAGCCUAUGUGAAACCCCUUCGACGAGUCGAGUUGUUUGGGAAUGCAGCUCAAAAUGGGUGGUAAAUUUCAUCUAAAGCUAAAUACCGGCCAGAGACCGAUAGCGCACAAGUAGAGUGAUCGAAAGAUGAAAAGCACUUUGGAAAGAGAGUCAAAAAGUACGUGAAAUUGUUGAAAGGGAAGCGCUUGCAACCAGACCUGUCCGCAGGCGAUCAACUCCCGUUCUCGGGGGUGCACUCGUCUGUGAUCAGGCCAGCAUCGGUUCGGGCGGUCGGAUAAAGGCCUUGGGAAUGUAGCUCCUUCCGGGGAGUGUUAUAGCCCUCGGUGCAAUGCGGCCAGCCCGGACCGAGGACCGCGCCUUCGGGCUAGGAUGCUGGCGUAAUGGUUGUAAGCGACC
rnacentral:rRNA from 1 species